rnacentral:rRNA from 1 species
AGAUUGAACGCUGGCGGCAUGCUUUACACAUGCAAGUCGAACGGCAGCACGGGGGCAACCCUGGUGGCGAGUGGCGAACGGGUGAGUAAUGCAUCGGAACGUAUCUUUAAGUGGGGGAUAACGCAUCGAAAGAUGCGCUAAUACCGCAUAAUCUCCGAGGAGAAAAGCAGGGGAUCGCAAGACCUUGCGCUUUUGGAGCGGCCGAUGGUCUGAUUAGCUUGUUGGUGAGGUAAAGGCUUACCAAGGCUUCGAUCGAGUAGCUGGUCUGAGAGGACGACCAGCCACACUGGGACUGAGACGACGGCCCAGACCUCCGUACGGAGCAGCAGGUGGGAAUUUGGAA